GGACUAAGACAUGCGAGUCGAGCGUCUCUAGCUAUGUUGAGACGCGGCAGACGGCUCAGUAACACGUGGCUAACCUACCCUCAGGACGAGGACAAACCCGGGAAACUGGGGCUAAUACUCGAUAGGUGAGUAUGUCUGGAAUGAUUUCUCACUCAAAGGGCUUUAGAAACAUGCUUCUAAAGUCGCCUGGGGAUGGGGCCGCGUCCGAUCAGGUUGUUGGUGAGGUAAUGGCUCACCAAGCCUAUAACCGGUACGGGCCGUGAGAGCGGUAGCCCGGAGAUGGGUACUGAGACAAGGACCCAGGCCCCACGGGGCGCAGCAGUCGCGAAAACUCCGCAAUGCACGAAAGUGUGACGGGGCUACCCCGAGUGCCAUCCGCUGAGGAUGGCUUUUCCUUGGUAUAACUAGCCGAGGGAAUAAGGAGAGGGCAAGACUGGUGUCAGCCGCCGCGGUAAUACCAGCUCUCCGAGUGGUAGGGAUGAUUAUUGGGCUUAAAGCGUCCGUAGCCGGCUUAGCAAGUCUCCUGUUAAAUUCAGCGACCUAAUCGUUGAGCCGCGGGAGAUACUACUAGGCUAGGAGGCGGGAGAGGUCGACGGUACUUCUGGGGUAGGGGUGAAAUCCUAUAAUCCCGGGAGGACCACCAGUGGCGAAGGCUGUCGACUAGAACGCGCUCGACGGUGAGGGACGAAAGCUGGGGGAGCGAACCGGAUUAGAUACCCGGGUAGUCCCAGCCGUAAACGAUGCGGGCUAGGUGUUGGGGUGGCUACGUGCCACUUCAGUGCCGCAGGGAAGCCCAUUAAGCCCGCCGCCUGGGGGAGUACGGCCGCAAGGCUGAAACUUAAAGGAAUUGGCGGGGGAGCCCCCCCGAGGGGUGAAGCCUGCGGUUUCAAUUGGAGUCAACCCCCAGAAAUCUUACCCGGAGAGACAGCAGAAUGAAGGUCAAGCUGAGGAU
rnacentral:rRNA from 1 species